UAAUAUAAUAUUCUGAAGUAGCCAAACUUACUGUACCUACACUCCCUCCUGCAGCAUUGGUCUCCAUCUCUGUUGCUUCAGGUAAUCCACAUUCAUACCCACAGCAGGCUUGUUGUUCUGUGUUGGUUAGUUCCAUAGAUUCGUUAUCCAUGUCUAUCUCUUCAUCCUCCUCUUGCUCGUUUUGUUCUUCCUCUUCCUCAUAUUCCUCACUGUCCUGUCUUUCUCCCUGGUGUGCUGGCUCAGUAUUAGCGCUAAUGCUAGCUGAAGCUGCACUUGAUUUUGAAAACAAAUCAGUCAGUUUGCAGCAUUUUUUAACGUCAGCCAACAGUGCUCUCUUAUAUUUCUCUCUCUUUUUCUCUGCCCCCCCCCUUGUGUCGCUUGAUGCCUCGAUUGAUUUUUUUAUCAACAGUACUAUAGCUUCCAACUUCCAAUUUUCAACUUCCAACAACCACUCUGAGGCAGACCGUAUAUAUAAAGACGCAGACGCGGUCUACUCGAUUCUGUCUUGAAAUUCCCAGAAGGCAUUGCUUCAUUUUAACUUUUGCAAACAAAUAUUCAAA